rnacentral:misc_RNA from 1 species
UUGACUUAUUCAGUGCAGAAGACUCAGAGAGGCCAUACAAUUCAAUAGUUUGGUUUACCUCCGGCGGGCGCCCGCGAGGGCCGGGGGGCGCCGGGAGUGACCCGGGCCGCCCGCCGAAGCAACGGUUUUGGUAACGUUCACAAUGGUUUGGGAGUUUUGCAACUCUGUAAUGAUCCCUCCGCUGGUUCACCAACGGAGA